rnacentral:rRNA from 2 species
UGGGGGAUAUUGCACAAUGGGCGAAAGCCUGAUGCAGCAACGCCGCGUGAGGGAAGAAGGUCUUCGGAUUGUAAACCUCUGUCCUUGGUGACGAAAAAAAUGACGGUAGCCGAGGAGGAAGCCACGGCUAACUACGUGCCAGCAGCCGCGGUAAUACGUAGGUGGCAAGCGUUGUCCGGAUUUACUGGGUGUAAAGGGAGCGCAGGCGGGAAGAUAAGUCAGACGUGAAAACUAUGGGCUUAACCCAUAACGUGCGUUUGAAACUGUUUUUCUUGAGUGAAGUAGAGGUAGGCGGAAUUCCGAGUGUAGCGGUGAAAUGCGUAGAUAUUCGGAGGAACACCAGUGGCGAAGGCGGCCUACUGGGCUUUUACUGACGCUGAGGCUCGAAAGUGUGGGGAGCAAACAGG